CCUACGGGCGGCAGCAGUGAGGAAUAUUUGUCAAUGGACGCAAGUCUGAACCAGCCAUGCCGCGUGCAGGAAGACGGCUCUAUGAGUUGUAAACUGCUUUUGUACGAGGGUAAACGCAGAUACGCGUAUCUGUCUGAAAGUAUCGUACGAAUAAGGAUCGGCUAACUCCGUGCCAGCAGCCGCGGUAAUACGGAGGAUUCAAGCGUUAUCCGGAUUUAUUGGGUUUAAAGGGUGCGUAGGCGGUCGGAUAAGUUAGAGGUGAAAUCCCGAGGCGCAACUUCGGAAUUGCCUCUGAUACUGUUCGGCGAGAGAGUAGUUGCGGUAGGCGGAAUGUAUGGUGUAGCGGUGAAAUGCUUAGAGAUCAUACAGAACACCGAUUGCGAAGGCAGCUUACCAAGCUACUUCUGACGUUGAGGCACGAAAGCGUGGGGAGCAAACAGGAUUAGAUACCCCAGUAGUC
rnacentral:rRNA from 1 species